AGAAUUGGAGGGGGGGGGUUCCGUGAUCAGGAGGGUGGUUUCCCUGGAGUGGGGCUCUUCCACUGUACGCUUUGGUUGGGUUGGCCUCUGUGGUUUCCCUGGGUGUGAGGGGCUCAGCUGUAUUGUUUCUGAUGGUGCGGGACUGAGUUUGCACGGUUCCCUG